GCCGGCGUGGCGGAAUUGGCAGACGCGCGGGACUCAAAAUCCCGUUCCAUUCGUGGAGUGUCGGUUCGMCCCCGACCGCCGGUA
rnacentral:tRNA from 1 species